AGUUUGUAUACGAAGUGCGUCCAGUUUUUGCCGUGACCCUCUCUACUCUUUCGCGCAUGCUAUGCGGGUGAUCUGAUGAUACCAUGCCAAGUUUCAACAUUUUCAGGAUUCAUUUUGUAGUGAUUUUCAAUUUCACAGUCAUUUAGCUCUCUAAACAAUUAGGUAAAUGACCGAAAACAAUAAAUGAUGUCAGAACAUGUUGGAAAUUGAUGACGUCGCUUUAAAUGCUGCAUACUGAACAUAAAAGAAGUCCGGAGUUUAAAUAAGUUAUUAAAAAUAAAAAAGAGGUGCAAUGCUGGUUAAUUUGCUUCAAGCCAUUCGGAAUAGUGUAGACUGCACUGCACAUAGCUCAGUGCAAUCUAUGCUAUUCCGCAAGGCUUGAAGCUAAUCAACAUGUAUGUGAGUAUUGCAACUCUUCGUCAUUGUCUGUGCACUCACGGCUUAUAAACCGCUUAUACUGCCUCUCUCUUGGCGAAGAUCACAAGAUAGUUUGGUUAAAUUGCAUUACUGGUAAGUCCAGUUAACAUGGAUGCUUAUGAUGCAAGAGCAAUAGCAAAAGUGAAAAAUUGGCACAAAUAGGUAGUUGUGUAACUAAAAUAGGUAGGAGGAGAGAUAGCUCUUAUGUCACAAAAAAGAAGUUGUAUCAAACCUUUUAUGUCGGAUCUAGAACAAACCAAUCGGUAUCGCCAUCAUACAGCCCAAUCGUGGCUCGUGAUGCAUAUAUAUGCAUAUCAAAUGCACGGUUGGACGUAUGAUGGCGAAUCCGAAUGAUUUGUAUUCAGUCGAUGAACUGGUAGAUGUAUGCAGUCGAUGAACUGGUAGAUGUAUGUAGUCGAUGAACUGAAAGACUUAUGCAGGGAAGGCGAGAGGUGGGCUAUAUAUAGUGCCGUCUGUCUCACAAAGUGAUUGUGGUAGAUUCGAUGCAACGACUCACAUGAGCUAGGAAGAAACACAUCCUUGAUCCAAUGACUCGCAAGAGCUAGAAAGAAACACACGAUCCGUGUGAUUCUUCCUGAUUGGUGGGAUGUACAUUAGUACCCACUCUGGGCUUCGGUGAAAGUUGUAGUGAUACUCGGAAAGAGUUUGUCCAGUUUGUACAUGAAGUGCGUUCAGUUUUUGCUGUGACCCUCUCUACUCUUUCGCGAAUGCUAUGCGGGUGAUAUGAUGAUACCAUGCCAAGUUUCAACAUUUUCAGGAUUCAUUUUGUAGUAAUUUUCAAUUUCACGGUCAUUUAGCUCUCUAAACAAUUAGGUAAAUGACCGAAAACAACAAAUGAUGUCAGAACAUGUUGGAAAUUGAUGACGUCGCUUUAAAUGCUGCAUACUGAACACAAAAGAAGUCCGGAG
rnacentral:lncRNA from 1 species